rnacentral:rRNA from 2 species
UAGGGAAUCUUCGGCAAUGGGGGGAACCCUGACCGAGCAACGCCGCGUGAGUGAAGAAGGUUUUCGGAUCGUAAAGCUCUGUUGUUAAGGAAGAACGAGUGUGAGAAUGGAAAGUUCAUGCUGUGACGGUACUUAACCAGAAAGGGACGGCUAACUACGUGCCAGCAGCCGCGGUAAUACGUAGGUCCCGAGCGUUGUCCGGAUUUAUUGGGCGUAAAGCGAGCGCAGGCGGUUAGAAAAGUCUGAAGUGAAAGGCAGUGGCUCAACCAUUGUAGGCUUUGGAAACUGUUUAACUUGAGUGCAGAAGGGGAGAGUGGAAUUCCAUGUGUAACGGUGAAAUGCGUAGAUAUAUGGAGGAACACCGGUGGCGAAAGCGGCUCUCUGGUCUGUAACUGACGCUGAGGCUCGAAAGCGUGGGGAGCGAACAGG